UCCGAGUUGACCCCGGCAGUCUCCCAUGAGUCCCCGGCAUAACCCGCUGGCAACAUAGGAUAAGGGUUGCGCUCGUUGCGGGACUUAACCCAACAUUUCACAACACGAGCUGACGACAGCCAUGCAGCACCUGUCUCUGUGUCCCUUGCGGGCCGAUGAUAUCUCUACCAUCUUCACAGGAUGUCAAACCCAGGUAAGGUUCUUCGCGUUGCUUCGAAUUAAACCACAUGCUCCACCGCUUGUGCGGGCCCCCGUCAAUUCCUUUGAGUUUCAGUCUUGCGACCGUACUCCCCAGGCGGAGUGCUUAAUGUGUUGACUUCGGCACAGCAGGGGUCGAUACCCGCUACACCAAGCACUCAUCGUUUACGGCGUGGACUAC
rnacentral:misc_RNA from 1 species